UACGUAGGGCGCGAGCGUUGUCCGGAAUUAUUGGGCGUAAAGAGCUCGUAGGCGGCCUGCUAAGUUUGGAGUGACAGUUGGUGGCUUAACUGCCAAAGUGCUUCGAAAACUGACAGACUUGAGGGCUUCAGAGGGACACGGAAUUCCGGGUGGAGUGGUGAAAUGCGUAGAGAUCCGGAGGAACACCAAAGGCGAAGGCAGUGUCCUGGGGAGUACCUGACGCUCAGGUGCGAAAGCCAGGGGAGCGAACGGG
rnacentral:rRNA from 1 species